UGCCUCCUACGACUCGGCCGCGUCGACAAACGUACUACUUUAUACUCUACCGUUAGAAUAAAUGCUAAAUUCUAACGAGUAGGAGGGCGUAUGGAUAAUUUAGAAGGCUGUCAGUGAUGAUGGCUGGAAUUAUCUUUAGUGCAGAUCUUGGUGGUAGUAGCAAAUAUUCAAUAGAGAACAUUGAAGACUGAAGUGGAGAAAGGUUUCACAUGAACAACACUUGGAUGUGAGGUUAGUCGAUCCUAAACGGUGGGUUAACUCCGAAUACAUGAAUACUUGUAUUCUGUACCGUGAAAGGGAAACAGGUUAAUAUUCCUGUACUAUAUCAAGGAGGUAAAAUGGUAACAUAAAUGAACCCAAAUACAUCAGUAGAAUAACCAGGAAGAGUUCUCUUUUCUUUUUAACAAC
rnacentral:rRNA from 1 species